GACAGAGGGGGCAAGCGUUGCUCGGAAUUACUGGGCGUAAAGGGCGCGUAGGCGGGAUGGCAAGUCGGUCGUGAAAUCCCUCGGCUCAACCGAGGAACGUCGAUCGAUACUGCUGUUCUUGAGGAUUGCAGAGGAGACUGGAAUUCCCGGUGUAGCGGUGAAAUGCGCAGAUAUCAGGAGGAACACCGGUGGCGAAGGCGGGUCUCUGGGCCGUUACUGACGCUGAGGAGCGAAAGCGUGGGGAGCGAACAGG
rnacentral:rRNA from 1 species